GGAGACAGGCCACAUUUGGGCAGUACGCAUUCGGAGGGCUCUCUGGCUUUCCGAUCUUGGGUCGCUGUACUUGGCUCUGAAUACAGUCACCCCAUCAGAGUAGCAAAACACUGUGGUUGUAGUGUGAGAAUCCAAUGUUAAUGUUGGCCGAAAGCUCUUGAUUUUCUUCCCUGAGAACAUAGGCGUGAGGAUUUGGAUGUGUUUCCAAAUGCUUGUUACUCUUUGCCGUAAACCUGGAAUUUGGACCUAUGGCUGCCUGGGACUCAUACUGUCGUGGAGAAAGAUUGAAAAGUAGUUAAUGGCAGUGGUGGUAUGAAGGUGAUGCCACACUCAAUCAGAAACUAUGCUACUGCUGAAGAGGUAUAUUGAGCCCUGCCUGGUUAACCUCCAGUGAGGUUAUUAGAGAAUUGGGAGAGGCUCAAAUCAGCAUCCUGCACCUAGUUAUCAAACCAUUGUGAAGUCUUGAUUCCUGGAUGGCCAGAAAACUUGUCAUUGGUCAAGAGCAACAUUAAGAUCUGCCUGUUACUCAUACUGAUGCUUCCUGCCCAGCAAGUUCAUCAGAGGGCGAGGAUGAAUUACGGUUGCCAUGAAUGUCCUUGUGAGGCAGUUGGGAAGCCUUGGCUGGAUUGUGAAGGAUAUUUGAAAAGUAUUUUAGAGUCCACCAGAUCAUCCAUGUGAGUGACCAUGCAGCAAAAGAAGGAGGGUCCUCUCAGUGAUUAAGGUAACAUAGUGAUUAAGGUAAGUAGGGAAAGAGAGGCUUACUUUGCCCUGAUUCUUGUCAGGGAGGCUCUUAGAGAUGCCAUUUCCAGAGCAUAAGUGACAGGCCAGCAUUUUCAAAGCUUGCAACUUAUUCUAUAAUAUAUCCUUCUUAAAACAAUUCAUGUAGAUUAUAUGCUCACCCAGUCUGGGAUCACUCCUGCAGAAGAUCAGAAGAACUGAAAUAUAGGUGACAUAAGCUCCUGCUUUUGUAAAUGUUUUGUUGAAACACAGUUGUGUUCAUCCAUUAUUGUCGAUGGCAGCUUUCAUGCUACAGCAGAGUUGAGUAGUUGGGAGAGAAACCAAAUGGACCAUAGAGUUUGAAAUAUUACUGUCUGGCCCUUCACAGAAAGUUUGCCAAUUCCUGGCAUAGGUUAAAUAAAUGUACUAUAUCCACAAAUCCUCCUCUCCCCAUUUUCCUUUCAAUGGGACUUGCAUUUACAGUUGAUCCUAGAAUGUAUGGAAUCUCAUAGUAAUCAGCUUGCUUCUGAAUUUCUUCCCACUCAAAUUAAGCUCACUCAGAAAGCACAUUCACAAAUUGGGCUACAUAUACAGAAGGAGCUAUGUUUUAUAUGCCUCACUGUAGUCAACUCAUUUAUCCUAUAUGUAUGGUUCCCCCAUUUUUUCCUUCUUUUCAGGGGUAACUUUUAAACUUGAGCCAUUCAUGAGUAUCCAAAAA
rnacentral:lncRNA from 1 species